rnacentral:rRNA from 1 species
UAAAUGACUCUCGACAACGGAUAUCUUGGCUCUUGCAUCGAUGAAGAACGUAGCGAAAUGCGAUACUUGGUGUGAAUUGCAGAAUCCCGUGAACCAUCGAGUCUUUGAACGCAAGUUGCGCCUGAAACCAUUAGGUUGAAGGCACGUCUGCCUGGGCGUCAUGC